rnacentral:rRNA from 1 species
GACGAACGCUGGCGGCGUGCCUAAUACAUGCAAGUCGAACGAGUGGCGGACGGGUGAGUAACACGUGGGAACCUACCCAUCAGAGGGGGAUAACAUUUGGAAACAGGUGCUAAUACCGCAUACUGAUGGAUGGACCCGGGGUGCAUUAGCUAGUCGGUGGGGUAAUGGCGCACCUAGGCGACGAUCCCUACCUGGUCUGAGAGGAUGACCAGCCACACUGGAACUGAGACACGGGCCAGACUCCUACGGGAGGCAGCAGUGGGGAAUAUUGCACAAUGGGCGAAAGCCUGAUGCAGCCAUGCCGCGUGUGUGAAGAAGGCCUUCGGGUUGUAAAGCACUUUCAGCGAGGAGGCGUUACUCGCAGAAGAAGCACCGGCUAACUCCGUGCCAGCAGCCGCGGUAAUUC